AAGGAUUUAAGUUAAUUUAAACUUGUAGCCUUCAAAGCUUCUAAUAGAGAUUCUUACUUCUUUAAGCCUUA
rnacentral:tRNA from 1 species